AAAAGCAGCUAGCUCUCUGCAACUCUCACAGGGUCGCCCACUAAAGCUAAGCAGGGCUGCGCCUGGUCAGUACCAGGAUUGGAGACCACAUGGGAAAGCUAGGUUGCUACUGAAA
rfam:Danio rerio chromosome 14, GRCz11 reference primary assembly.